CUGUCUGCUCGCGCGCGCGCAAGUGCGAUUUCAAAUACAAAGUAUCAUUAACGGUUCCUCUCCUCAAAGAAACAACCACAGUGCUGUGUAACAAAAGAACGUAUACAUACUUGAGUUCUCUUAAAAUUUGACAGGGUUCACUGAGCAGCACUAAUCAGUUAAUGAAGACGUUGUAUGUUUCAUGAAUAUGGCUCUGUAGUGGACUGCUGGAGCUGCUGAUGUCUGUUGCUGGCUGACAAUAAAGUGAUCUCUCUGGACUUCCCUUAUCUUUUGAAGGUGUGUAAAUAACAACAAUUGCGGAGAAACAUCAGAAACCGCUCUAAAACAUUCAAUUACUUAUAGUUUAUAUGUUGUUUUUUUCCCCCUUUUAUUUUCUUCUGAGAAAUCCGAGCCUUGCUCCUGAUCCUGCUGUGCUGGACUGUAUAUGAUUUAUUGAGAAUCUUACACUAACUGUGGUAAUGGAGACCCAUUUGGUGAGAGCAGCACUGCAGAUUUUCCUGAUGGUGAGGAGCUACUUGCUGACGAAGCUACCAACAUGAUUUCACCUUAUAAGUGCCUUUGUUCUAUUCAACAUUAUACAGAAAAGCUGUUAAACGUACAGCAAAGUGUACUAUUUUUCUGCUGCAUUUGUUGGGUAUUCAAGAGGAGAUCAUCAAGCUACCUACAGCUGUCUUGAGGCUUAUCAAUUUCUUAAAAUUUCCUGUGUGAAUUUUCCCAAUCUGUGACCUCCAUUUAGAACAAGAAGGAAUGUUAUCAUUGACUGCGAUGUACAUUAAAUUUGUAAUUAUAUUUGCUCAUUUGAAUUGUACUAUUUUUGAGGUAUGAUUGUUUUAAAGUUCUAAGAUAUUUGAGUCACAUUUAUUUGUUUAUGGUUUUGUCAAGGUGUAAGUUUUAUUUUUUAUUUUAUUUAUAACAAUAUUAACACUGGUGUUCCCAUGAAUUGGAUUGUGAUGUGCAGUAUUGAAUAUUUAUUUGAAACGUCUAUGGAUGUUGUUGUUGUUGUUGUUAAUCAAUAAACAAUGUUUGAUAUGUA